AACGAACGCUGGCGGCAUGCCUAACACAUGCAAGUCGAACGAUUGCCUUCGGGUGAUAUUGUCGCACGGGUGCGUAACGCGUGGGAAUCGGCCCUUAGGUUCGGAAUAACAGCUGGAAACGGCUGCUAAUACCGGAUGAUAUCGCGAGAUGAAAGAUUUAUCGCCUUAGGAUGAGCCCGCGUUGGAUUAGGUAGGUGGUGGGGUAAAGGCCUACCAAGCCGACGAUCCAUAGCUGGUAUGAGAGGAUGAUCAGCCACACUGGGACUGAGACACGGCCCAGACUCCUACGGGAGGCAGCAGUGGGGAAUAUUGGACAAUGGGCGCAAGCCUGAUCCAGCCAUGCCGCGUGAGUGAUGAAGGCCCUAGGGUUGUAAAGCUCUUUUACCCGGGAAGAUAAUGACUGUACCGGGAGAAUAAGCCCCGGCUAACUCCGUG
rnacentral:rRNA from 1 species